CCUACGGGAGGCAGCAGUAGGGAAUAUUGCUCAAUGGGGGAAACACUGAAGCAGCAACGCCGCGUGGAGGAUGAAGGUUUUAGGAUUGUUAAAUCCUUUUGUUAGAGAAGAAAAUGAGGGUAUCUAUCGAAUAAGCACUGGCUAACUUCGUGCCAGAAGCCGCGGUAAUACGGAGGGUGCAAGAGUUACUCGGAAUAACUGGGCGUAAAGAGUGCGUAGGCGGGGUAAUUAGUCAGAUGUGAAAUCCUGUAGCUUAACUACAGAACUGCAUUUGAAACUGUUACUCUGGAGUGUGGGAGAGGUAGGUGGAAUGCUCGGUGUAGCGGUGAAAUCCGUAGAGAUCAAGAGGAAUACUCAUUGCGAAGGCGACCUGCUGGGACAUUACUGACGCUGAUGCACGAAAGCGUGGGGAGCAAACAGGAUUAGAUACCCUAGUAGUC
rnacentral:rRNA from 1 species